GACGAACGCUGGCGGCGUGCUUAACACAUGCAAGUCGAACGGAAAGGCCCUGCUUUUGUGGGGUGCUCGAGUGGCGAACGGGUGAGUAACACGUGAGUAACCUGCCCUUGACUUUGGGGUAACUUCAGGAAACUGGGGCUAAUACCGGAUAGGAGCUCCUGCUGCAUGGUGGGGGUUGGAAAGUUUCGGCGGUUGGGGAUGGACUCGCGGCUUAUCAGCUUGUUGGUGGGGGAGUGGCUUACCAAGGAUUUGACGGGUAGCCGGCCUGAGAGGGUGACCGGCCACAUUGGUACUGAGGUACGGCCCAGACGCCUACGGGAGGCAGCAGUGGGGAAUAUUGCACAAUGGGCGGAAGCCUGAUGCAGCAACGCCGCGGUCGGGAUGACGGCCUUCGGGUUGUAAACCGCUUUCGCCUGUGACGAAGCGUGAGUGACGGUAAUGGGUAAAGAAGCACCGGCUAACUACGUG
rnacentral:rRNA from 1 species